AGUCUCAUUCUGUCGCCCAGGCUGGAGUGCAGUGGCAUGAUCUUGGCUCACUGCAACCUCUGCCUCCUGGGUUCAAACGAUUCUCCUGUCUCAGCCUCCCCAGUAGCUGGGACUACAGGUGCGCACCACCAUGCCCAGCUAAAUUUUGUACUUUUAGUAGAGAUGAGGUGUCACCAUGUUGGCCAGGAUGGUCUCAUCUCUUGACCCUGUGAUCCACCCACCUCAGCCUCCCAAAGUCUUGGGAUUACAGGCGUGAGCCACUGUGCCCGGCCUGAACCUAACUGUUUUUAAUGCUCCUUCCUUGUUUAACACAAAGGGGCCCUUCCUAUUGCCUUCAUUUCUACUUCCUUCCUAGUAUCUUGUUAUCUUUGUGUUUAAAUUUGUUACCAUACUUACUGAAAUAGUUUUAGAACUAUUCUACAAAGCUCUUCCCUGAUACUUACAGAAUGAUCUGCCUAUAGCUUUUUCAAAUAAUUAAAACAGCAAAUCAGAUUUUUAACAUCACCAUAUAUUUUGAGUCCCAACUAUGAAUGGGGACCUCUACCAAUGCUAGAAGUAUAAUGGUAAACAACAACAACAACAACAACAAACUAUUCCUAUUUCCACAGAGUUUAUGUAUGAGAGGAGGAGGAGAAAGAUAUUAAUUCAGUAAUUUCCCAAGUAAAGUAGUCCCCCUUUAUCGGCAGUUUUGUUUUCUGUGGUUUCAGUUCCCCACUGUUAACAGCGGCCAAAACAUAUUAAAUGGAAAAUUCCAGAAAUAAACAAUUCGUAAGUCUUGAAUUGCAUGAGUUCUGAGUAGCUUGGUGAAAUCUUGUUCCAUUCUGCUCCAUCACACCCAGCACGUAAAUUAUCUCUAUCCAGGGUAUCUGGCUGAAGAAGCCUCCUGCCCAUCAGUCACUUAUGAGCCAUCUCAGUUAUCAAAUCUGUUGUCGUGGUAUCACAGUCAUCCUGUUCAAGGAAACCUUAUUUUACUUAAUAAUGGCCCCAAAGUGCAAGAGUAGUGAUGUUGGUAAUUUGGACAAGCCCAAGAGAAACUGUCAAGUGCUUCCUUUAAGUGAAAAGGUAAAAGUUCUUAACUUAAUAAGGAAAGAGAGAAAAAUUGUACACUGAGGAUGCUAAGAUCUACCGCAAAAAUGAAUCUCCUAUCUCUGCAAAGUUGUGAACAAGGGAAAAAGAAAUUCAUACUAGUUUUGCUGUCAUACCUCAAACUGCAAAAGUUACAGCCACCAUGCAUGCUAAGGGCUUACUUGGGAUGAAGAGGGAUUCAGUGUGUGGGUUGAAAGACAUGAACAGAAACAUGUUCUGAUUGAUAGCAACUGGCUUCAGUACUAUUUGUGGUUUCAGGCAUCUACUGAGGGUCUUGGAACGUAUCACCCGCAGAUAACGAGGGGACUACUAUAUGCAUAAAAUUGCCUCUGUGCUGAAUGCUAAGCAGGAACAUUUUAUGGGGCCCUAGAAAGGGACUGUUUCCUCUGAAGAAGGACAGGAGAGAUUCUUCUGAAGAGGUGAGACUCAGAGGCAAGGGUGAAGUGGAGAAUGAAGAGCUCUGACAGAGGCUUCUGCAGGAGGCAGCAUGAAGAACAGGAGCCCUAAGAGAUGGGGAGUGAGCCCGGGAAAACAUGGUGCCAGAGGAGCCCCAGAGGCUGGCUGGGCCACAGGGUCGAAGGUCUUCAUUCUAUGAAUAAUAGGCUCCCACUGAAAGGUUUUGAGUCGGGGCAUGGCCAGAUGACAUCUGCACUUUGAAAAGAGCACUCUGGCUGGGCACAGUGGCUCACGCCUGUAAUCCCAGCACUUUGGGAGGCCAAGGCGAGCAGAUCACCUGAGGUCAGGAGUUUGAGACAAGCCUGGCCAAGAUGGUGAAACCCCGUCUCUACUAAAAAUACAAAAAUUAGCCAGGUGUGGUAGUGGGUGCCUAUAAUCCCAGCUCUUUGGAAGGCUGAGACAGGAGAAUUGCUUGAACCCGGGAGGUGGAGGUUGCAGUGAGCAGAGAUUGCACCACUGCACUACUCUAGCCUGGGCAAUGAAGAGCGAAAUUCUGGAAAGAAAGAAAGAGAGAGAAAGAGAGAACUCUGUCUCCAGUGGAGGAUGGCAGAUUGCAUAAGUGGGGAUACAAGUGCACAUGAGAGGUGACCACUUGUACAGGGUAGGGGUGGGGUGGAGAUAUACAUGGCCCAAAGCAGUGUUUAGGAAGCAAAACAGAUGGGACUUUGUGAUGGACUGAAUAAGCAUGGGGGAAAGAGAGAAAGGGAGUUGUCUAGAAUGUCUAUGAUUUGGGUACCUAUAUUGGGAAUUACCUUUUGGUGACAUGGAGAACAGUGGAAGAAGACCAGGUUUUCUGGUGCAAACAGAGUUUAAAAUACAGUGAUGUGGUGUUGAGGAUUCAAUUGUGCCCCUCAAAACAAAAUAUGUGUGAGUCCUCUAGUACCCCAGGUUGUGACCUUAUUUUGAGAUAGAGUUUUUACUGAGGAAAUCAAGUUAAAAUAAAGUCAUUAGGAUAGGCCCUAAUCCAAUAUGGCUUGUGUUAUCAAAAAGGGAAACCUGGAUACCAAGAAAGACAGGCAUAGAGGGAAGAUGAUAUGAAAAACAGGGAGAAGCCAACUAGACAGGCCUGGAAGAGACAUUUCCCUCACAAUCCUUGGCAGGAAUCAACACCUUGAUUUCAGACCUCUAGCCUCCAGAACUGUAAGACAAUAAAACUCUGUUGUUUAAGCCUCCAGUUUGCAGUAAUUUGUUAUGGCAGCCCUAGCAAAACAAUACAGGUAGUAAAUUCCAAAUCACUGGAAGUUUACAGCGGGGAAUAAAACUUUCAACUUAUGCCACUAUUUCUUCCUUUUUCUUUUUCUUUUUUUCAUUUUUACGUCUCUUUCCUCUCAUUUUAUUUCAUGUAGCUGUCCUCUCCUUUGUCUCAAGUUUUCUUUUAGGACUAUAAGCUUCUCCAACAGUCAGUCUGUAAUAAGCGGUGCACAAAGGAGAAGGAGUGCUCCAUGACAAGGCUCCCCGUGCUUCAAGAGAGUCAAGAUGUAAGUGGAGCACAGUAGUGUAGAUUAGCUCUACAUUUGCUGCUGUGGCCAGAUGUCUCUCUGCAAAGCACUGUGAGUUGUGCUUGACUUGGACCAAUCAUCACUUACUCCUCUGUUGGAGGGGAGCUGGUGUUAGCAGUUAGGGCUUGCAGGACAGGCUAUCCACCAAAUAAUAACAACAAUUCUCCUCUUCAAGGUCUUAAAGACAGCAAAGGCAAGAGAAUCAUAGACUACUGUGUCUUGAAGAAGAGAAAGUGAGUCGAAUGCCUGUGCCAUCAGCUUUAUGAUUAGCAGCUGGCAGCGACAAAGACAGAAGAGACAAAAGACUUUUUACAUUGCAAUACAACAGCAGAGCACAGGAAGCCAAUGCGCAGCGUUCACAACAGAGAAGCAGGGGUGGGCGAGCAAGCUGAAGCAAGGCUUGGAUUUCUUACCUACAGCCGGGCCACACGCACAAACAUGGAGAAAAUGAGGCAAAAGGUAAAUGCCAUCACAGGGAGCUAGAGGUCUGCGUCUAAACCAGGUGAUGGAACAACCAGCAGUUUUACUGUUUAAGAUGGACACUGAAUGGCUUGUGCAUGGGCGUCAGAGAUUCGGAAAACAAAGAGAAAAUGGGUACACAAUGGAAAAUUUAAAGUGGUCUGAAUAUUUUCCACAAAAUGUGUUCUAAGGCUUUACACACCCAAUCUGCAUGGAGAUGUUCACUUUAUGGAAUUUAAGUAAUCCCAUUAAGUGAAAGAAGGGCUUAAAAUGUGAUCAACUGUGUCAUACUUGUAUGUGGUCCUGUAAGAAUAAAAGUUAAUUAAGACACACAGUCUUGAUACAGCAGAUCCAGGGUUCUGACUGUUGGGAAAUAUACAAAAGCACAUUUUUGAAUUAAACACCUAAGUUAACACUACAGCCUAAAAAAAGUGUCCAUUUUUUAAAAAAACAGGGGUGCCACAUUUAUAGUUUUUAUUUGCAUAGGUGUUAGGUUUAUGUUAUUUCAGGAAUUCCUUGGAAAUUUAGCUCCAAGAAAUGUCUUGUCUUUAGAAAGAAGAUGAUCAUGAUUUUAAAAAAAUAACCAAACAAAAAAUCAAAAUCAACAAAAUUCUCUCAAGCUACAAUUAAAACCUUAAAUUUAAUUUUAAAAUUAUUUGUUUAACAAUUCUGAAGUCCUACUUUCUUAAUAGUAUAGGGAUGUUAAUUUAGAUUCAUAGUGAAUUCAACUUUUCAAAAGUUAAUCUUACCUAAAAUAUACUAGUAAUCGGCAGUCAUGCAUUACACAACUGGAAGCACAGAUGAUAACUGGAGUAUAUGGAGAAUGGUUUUGGUGACUAGGGUGGUGAAGUUACAGCAAUAUUUAAAUAACAGAAAAACAGUACUUGUCCUUACAAUUCAUGCUGUCAAUCCCUGGAGCAGGAAAGAGCAGAGAAUUUUCUCCUCUAACAAAUCAGUAACUACUUACUGUGAUAUUUUGGUCACAUAGGGCUUAAACAAUGUUUAAUAAAUUCCCCAUUGGUGGCUCAUUUUAUUUUAAAUAUUUCUAGUCACGUUUUGUAGUCUGUUCAUCACAUCAUAACUUCUCUGUCAGAUUGCUCUCAGAUCUCUGAAUUUGUUUCCAUUGACAUAAUGUCCGUUCUGACUCUUGACAUAGGUGUCAAAUACAAAAACUGUCACCAUAAUAAUUUACAAGCUUUUUUUCUGUAAGUCAUUAUUUGUUCU
rnacentral:lncRNA from 10 species